GACGAACGCUGGCGGCGUGCUUAACACAUGCAAGUCGAACGGCAAGGCCCUGCUUUUGUGGGGUGCUCGAGUGGCGAACGGGUGAGUAACACGUGAGUAACCUGCCCUUGACUUUGGGAUAACUUCAGGUAACUGGGGCUAAUACCGGAUAGCAGCUCCUGCUGCAUUGUGGGGGUUGGAAAGUUUCGGCGGUUGGGGAUGGACUCGCGGCUUAUCAGCUUGUUGGUGGGGUAGUGGCUUACCAAGGCUUUGACGGGUAGCCGGCCUGAGAGGGUGACCGGCCACAUUGGGACUGAGAGACGGCCCAGACUCCUACGGGAGGCAGCAGUGGGGAAUAUUGCACAAUGGGAGGAAGCCUGAUGCAGCAACGCCGCGUGCGGGAUGACGGCCUUCGGGUUGUAAACCGCUUUCGCCUGUGACGAAGCGUGAGUGACGGUAAUGAGUAAAGAAGCACCGGCUAACUACGUG
rnacentral:rRNA from 1 species